CUCGAGUGGCGAACGGGUGAGUAACACGUGGGUGAUCUGCCCUGCACUCUGGGAUAAGCCUGGGAAACUGGGUCUAAUACCGGAUAGGACCACACACUUCAUGGUGAGUGGUGCAAAGCUUUGCGGUGUGGGAUGAGCCCGCGGCCUAUCAGCUUGUUGGUGGGGUAAUGGCCCACCAAGGCGACGACGGGUAGCCGGCCUGAGAGGGUGACCGGCCACACUGGGACUGAGAUACGGCCCAG
rnacentral:rRNA from 1 species